UCCUGAAAGAGUGGCAUUAAUCUGCUUUCCACCUUCCUGCUCUCCCCACUGCCCAGCCUCUCCUUCGCAACCAGAUCGCGACCGAGUCACGCUCCCAAGCGGAGAAUGGGAUGGAGCCUUCACCAUCUGCAUGUGGCCAGAGUCCAGCAUGACCCCUGACAGGUGGCUGAAGAUCAUAUUACUACAAGGAGAGGCCCGUCCAAAAGUGACUCUUCUCCAGAGUAUAUCAGGACUCACAGACCCUGACUAGUGUACCCAGAUCUGGAACAGAACUGCCAGACAUCUUCCUACCCAUCGCGUGGCUGGAAGCCAGUGCUUGAUGAUAUCCUUUGUGACAUGUUGGUAGAUGCCAAGAAAUAUGUUCAAAACCAGUAGAAACAGAGUCGAAACCAACACUGAUCAAUCAGCUCUCUCCUCCAGGACACAGCCCUGAGUCUGUCAGUAACGUCCAGCUCUUAGAGUCAUCUUCGAGUUAUUUAUUUUCCGAAGAGAUGAAAGUCAGAGACUCCUGUCUAGUCUCCCUGUGUGUGUCUGGGACUUGCUUCCUUCUUUGUUACCCACAACUGGACUCUUGAAGGCAACGUGCCAAAACAACAAAACAAAACAAAACAAAACAAAACAAAAAACUUUUUCAAAUUGUCCCUGUGGUUUUGUUUUGAGUCCUAUCCCCACAGCUUUGUCAACAUUUGAGUUACAAUAGUGGCAACAGUGGCCAAGCUGAUAAGAAAGCAAAACCUUGUGAAAGGAUAAACCCUGAGCAAGAAAGGAAAUUACCAAACAGAAAUGUUCACUCUACAGACAUUAAACCAGGCUGUGGUGAGGCAGUAUGGCUGGAAGGUCCUCAGCCUGUUUUGAGUCAGCAGGGAGAAUCAGAGUAACAUCUCUCCUCACCUAGCCUUAUGCAAAGGAGCUGCAGUGUUCCCAAAAACAGCUCAUAGCCUGGAGGUUCAAGGAUUUCCUUCCUGCUCCAAUUUGCUCCUCCCAGGUCCUCUGGCCCUUUAAGAUAGUCAGUAGCAAAAUCAGACAUUUAAAACAAAACUACUCAGGGCAGACUGAUACAGCAUUCAGGCUUUAUUGAAUGGAAGUCUUAGGGGCUGGAUUGUCCUUGUUUGGAGCUGCUGCAGAGAGGCUACAUUGAACAUGGAUCAGGUGUUCCCAGGACCUAGGAAAAUAAGCUGGCUAUAAAGAUUCUCUCAACCAGUCUGGACUUGACUCUGAAUCACAUGGCAACUAUGGUGAUCUCUCACACUUUACUAUGAGUGACUUUACAUGUCAUAAAAAUGCCUGGAUCCUUUGUGAACGUCUGAAGGUGCUCUAACCUCGUCCAUUCUGGUUUUGACUCCUCGAAUUUUGCAUGCCACUGAAGUGAGAAAGAUGAAGAGCAGGCCAUGAAUGGCCUUCAUCUAGAAACCAAGGGCAGUGGUUCUGAAGUCAAGAUGAUUUCACAUUUGCAUAAGAAGGUUGGGGAUGUGAUUCAGCUCCUACAGUGCUCGCCUAUCAUGCACACGACCAACCCUGAAUUAGCUUCCCAGAGCCACUUCUUCAUUUAAAAAAAAAAGGCACAGUGUCCUGUGAUAGGAGCACUCAGGAUGUGGAGACUCAUCUUCUAGGACAUACCAGGCUUGAGACCAGCCUGGGCUACAUGAGGCCUUGAUAAGAACAAAG